GCAGCUUGCUGCCGGGGUGAGAGUGGCGAACGGGUGAGUAAUGCGUGACCGACCUGCCCCAUGCACCGGAAUAGCUCCUGGAAACGGGUGGUAAUGCCGGAUGUUCCACAUGAGCGCAUGCGAGUGUGGGAAAGGCUUUUUGCGGCAUGGGAUGGGGUCGCGUCCUAUCAGCUUGUUGGUGGGGUAACGGCCUACCAAGGCGUUGACGGGUAGCCGGCCUGAGAGGGCGACCGGCCACAUUGGGACUGAGAUACGGCCCAGACUCCUACGGGAGGCAGCAGUGGGGAAUAUUGCACAAUGGGCGCAAGCCUGAUGCAGCGACGCCGCGUGCGGGAUGGAGGCCUUCGGGUUGUAAACCGCUUUUGUUCAAGGGCAAGGCACGGUUUCGGCCGUGUUGAGUGGAUUGUUCGAAUAAGCACCGGCUAACUACGUGCCAGCAGCCGCGGUAAUACGUAGGGUGCAAGCGUUAUCCGGAUUUAUUGGGCGUAAAGGGCUCGUAGGCGGUUCGUCGCGUCCGGUGUGAAAGUCCAUCGCUUAACGGUGGAUCCGCGCCGGGUACGGGCGGGCUUGAGUGCGGUAGGGGAGACUGGAAUUCCCGGUGUAACGGUGGAAUGUGUAGAUAUCGGGAAGAACACCAAUGGCGAAGGCAGGUCUCUGGGCCGUUACUGACGCU
rnacentral:rRNA from 1 species